UGCGUCCAUGCAGACAGAAGACCCCCGCCUUGUCAGGGCCUUUGGUGAAGCCUAAGAAAAAUGUGGGUGCCUCAUCCACACUGACAGGAUUCUCCAGCCUCCUCAGGACCCACUGUGAAGGUUUGGGAAGAUUUGGGGCCACAUGUAUGCUGACAGGAGCCCCAGCCUCCUCAGGUCUUAUGGUGAGGCUUGAGGAAAAUGUGGGUCACCUCAACACUGACAGGAACCCCGUCCUCCUCAGGACCUGCACUAAAGCUUCAGGAAAUAUGGGGCUGCGUCUAUGCUGACAGGAGCCCACAGCCUCCUCAGGAUCCGCGGUGAGUUUUCAGGGGACGUGGGGCCAUGUCCAGGCUGACAGGAGCCCCCGGCCACCUGAGGACCUUCUGUGAGUCUUCCAGAGGAUGUGAGGCAUAGUCCACAGUGACAGGAGACCCGCCAUCCUCAGGACCCGCUGACUAUCACUCAGGAACACGUGGGGCCAUGUCCACACUCACAGGAGCCCUGCUUCCUCAGGACCCCCUGGAGGACUUUGGAGGCGCUGUUGGGGGCCUCGUCCACAUCAGAAGUGACUACUCAGAACCACAGGUCACACAGAGAGAGAGGCAGAGACAUAGGCAGAGGGAGAAGCAGGCUCCAUGCACCGAGAGCCCGACGUGGGAUUCAAUCCCGGGUCUCCAGGAUCGCGCCCUGAGCCAAAGGCAGGCGCUAAACUGCUGCAUCACCCAGCGAUCCCAGACUUCUUGUUUCCUGAGACUGUCGUGCCCAAGAUUGCGAAUCCGAGAACCCUCCGAGAAGCCAACAGUGAUGCAAACACACGAGGGUUUAUUUACCACCUCGAGCUUGUGUCCAAGUGUACCCAACAAGCGGAGCAUGGAC